UAACACAUGCAAGUCGAACGACAAAGUGGACCACUCCAUGAGUACAGUGGCGACCGGGUGAGUAACACGUGACUACCUGCCCUUGAGUGGGGGAUAACCUCGGGAAACCGAGGCUAAUACCCGCAUAAAAUCGCAAGAUCAAAGGAGCAAUCCGCUUUUGGAGGGGGUCGCGGCUGAUUACCUACUUGGUAGGGUAAUGGCCUACCAAGGCCAAGAUCGGUAUCCGGCCUGAGAGGGCGCACGGCCACACUGGAACAGAAACACGGUCCACACUCCUACGGGAGGCAGCAGUGCGGAAUUUUGCGCAAUGGGGGAAACCCUGACGCACCAA
rnacentral:rRNA from 1 species